AAAUUUUAUAAGACUAGAUACUCAAUUUAGCGACUUGAUGGUCGAUUGAAGUUUUGGGUUUAGUUUAACGACUUUUCGGUCAUUUGAAUUUGGGUUUAGUUUAACGACUUUGCGGUCGUUUGAAUUUGGGUUUAGUUUAGCGACGUUUCGAUCGUUUGAAUUUGGGUUUAGUUUAGCGACGUUUCGGUCGUUUGAAUUUGGGUUUAGUUUAGCGACAUUUCAGUCGUUGGUUUUAGUUUAACGACGUUUCGGUCGUUGGGUUUAGUUUAACGACAUUUCGGUCGUUAAGUUUAGUUUAUCGACGUUUCGGUCAUUGGGUUUAGUUUAACGACGUUUCGGUCGUUGGGUUUAGUUUAACGACGUUUCGGUCGUUGGGUUUAGUUUAACGACGUUUCGGUCGUUUGGUUUAGUUUAACGACGUUUCGGUCGUUGGAUUUAGUUUAACGACGUUUCGGUCGUUUGGUUUAGUUUAACGACGUUUCGGUCGUUUGAGUUUGGGUUUAGUUUAGUGACGUUUCGGUCGUUUGGUUUAGUUUAACGACAUUUCGGUCAUUUGAAUUUGGGGUUUAGUUUAACGACGUUUCGGUCGUUUGGAUUUGUGUUUAGUUUAGCGACGUUUCGGUCGUUGGGUUUAGUUUAACGACGUUUCGGUCGUUGGGUUUAGUUUAAUGACGUUUCGGUCGUUUGGUUUAGUUUAACGAUGUUUCGGUCGUUUGGUUUAGUUUAACGACGUUUCGGUCGUUGGGUUUAGUUUAAUGAUGUUUCGGUCGUUAGGUUUAGUUUAACAACGUUUCGGUCGUUUGAGUUUGGGUUUAGUUUAGUGACGUUUCGGUCGUUGGGUUUAGUUUAACGACGUUUUGGUCAUUUGAAUUUGGAUUUAGUUUAACGACGUUUCGGUCGUUUGGAUUUGGGUUUAAUUUAGCGACAUUUCGGUCGUUUAGAUUUGAGAGGCUUUGGAUUUCGGGGUUUUAUUUGUGGACUUUAGGUUUUUGGGAUUUUAUUUGUGGACUUUGGGUUUCGAGAUUUUAUUUGUAGAUUUUGGGUUUUGGAAUUUAUUUGUGGACUUUGGUUUUGGGAUUUAUUUGUGGACUUUGGUUUUGGGUUGGCUUAAAC
rnacentral:lncRNA from 1 species